UACGUAGGUCCCGAGCGUUGUCCGGAUUUAUUGGGCGUAAAGCGAGCGCAGGUGGUUUAUUAAGUCUGGUGUAAAAGGCAAUGGCUCAACCAUUGUAUGCAUUGGAAACUGGUAGACUUGAGUGCAGGAGAGGAGAGUGGAAUUCCAUGUGUAGCGGUGAAAUGCGUAGAUAUAUGGAGGAACACCGGUGGCGAAAGCGGCUCUCUGGCCUGUAACUGACACUGAGGCUCGAAAGCGUGGGGAGCAAACAGG
rnacentral:rRNA from 1 species